UCCCUGGAGGACUAGUGGUUAGGCCUCUGUGCUCUCACCGCCGUGGUCUGGGUUUGAUUCCUGGCCAGGGAA
rnacentral:tRNA from 1 species